rnacentral:rRNA from 1 species
CCUACGGGAGGCAGCAGUAGGGAAUUUUCCGCAAUGGGCGAAAGCCUGACGGAGCAAUACCGCGUGAGGGAUGACGGCCUGUGGGUUGUAAACCUCUUUUCUCAAGGAAGAAGUUCUGACGGUACUUGAGGAAUAAGCAUCGGCUAACUCUGUGCCAGCAGCCGCGGUAAUACAGAGGAUGCAAGCGUUAUCCGGAAUCACUGGGCAUAAAGCGUCUGUAGGUUGUUUAGUAAGUCUGCUGUUAAAGACUGGGGCUUAACCCCAGAAAAGCAGUGGAAACUGCUAGACUCGAGUGUGGUAGAGGUAGAGGGAAUUCCUAGUGUAGCGGUGAAAUGCGUAGAUAUUAGGAAGAACACCAAUGGCGAAGGCACUCUACUGGGCCAUAACUGACACUGAGAGACGACAGCUAGGGGAGCAAACGGGAUUAGAUACCCCGGUAGUCCUAGCCGUAAACGAUGGAUACUAGAUGUUGCACGUAUUAACCCGUGCAGUAUCGUAGCUAAGGCGUUAAGUAUCCCGCCUGGGAAGUACGCUCGCAAGAGNGAAACUCGAAAGGUAUUGACGG